rnacentral:rRNA from 1 species
CCUACGGGAGGCUGCAGUGAGGAAUAUUGGUCAAUGGACGAGAGUCUGAACCAGCCAAGUAGCGUGAAGGAUGACUGCCCUAUGGGUUGUAAACUUCUUUUAUAAAGGAAUAAAACGAGGCACGUGUGCCUUUUUGCAUGUACUUUAUUAAUAAGGAUCGGCUAACUCCGUGCCAGCAGCCGCGGUAAUACGGAGGAUCCGAGCGUUAUCCGGAUUGAUUGGGUUUAAAGGGAGCGUAGAUGGGUUGUUAAGUCAGUUGUGAAAGUUUGCGGCUCAACCGUAAAAUUGCAAUUGAUACUGGCAGUCUUGAGUACAGUUGAGGUAGGCGGAAUUCGUGGUGUAGCGGUGAAAUGCUUAGAUAUCACGAAGAACCCCGAUUGCGAAGGCAGCUUACUAAACUGUGACUGACAUUGAUGCUCGAAAGUGUGGGUAUCAAACAGGAUUAGAUACCCUAGUAGUC